UGAGGUCCAACUAUUGCAUUUUUUAUUUAUGUGUUUUUAUUUUUUGAGAGAUAGGUAGCACGUUACUCGCUUCGUUUAUUUCAUUUAGAAAUAAACUUAGCUUGAAAAGUGAAUCAACUAGGAUUCGAACUUGGGACCUCGGGUACUAACCAUCAAAUCUUUUGCCACUUGCUUUAGGGAUGAUCGGUUAUUUAGACGCAAGUGGAAAUGCAGC
rnacentral:lncRNA from 1 species